rnacentral:lncRNA from 1 species
ACACCCACUUGUGAUCCGGUUUGAUGGAUUGAGGUGGUGGUGGGGGGGGGGGGGGCUGGGGGGGCGCGGGGUGGGGGACAGAUGAGCCCUGGCGGGGAAGUGGUGAUGCCUGAGUCUCACAUCCCUCCUUGCCCCCAUAUCCACCUUUCUUCCCAGAGGAGCAUCUGAAGUGGGGUCCCCUCCCAAGAAGGAGCCUUGCUGCUUUCUCCUCCCUUCACCUGUCUUCUCCAGAGCAAAUCAUGCUUCCCUCGGGAGAGCUGAAAAGAGCAUGGAUUUUAAGCAGUGUGGCCUUCAGCAAGUUGCUGUGAAUUUGCACUCCUGGGUAUGUAUCCAAAGGAGAUGGGAUCUGCACUCCCAUGUUCAUUGCAAUGUUAUUCCCAGGAACUGAGGCAUGGAAACAACUUGGGCAUUGUUGGCAGAUGAGUGGAUGAAGUUGUGGUACCUACACACACGUGGACACACGUGCACACACAAAAUGUAGCAUUUUUCAGCCUUCGGAAGGAAGGGAAUUCUGUCCUUUGUGACAGUGUGGAUGCCCUUGGAGGGCAUUAUGCGAAGGAUAAUGAGCUCAGCACCAAAAGACGAAGACUGCAUGAUAUCACUCAUAUGUGACAUCAACACAAGCAGAACUCAGAGAAAUAGAGAAUAGAAUGGUGGUGACCACAAGCUUGGGGGAAAUGGGGUAGAAACUUCCAGUUAUAAGAUGACUAUUGUCCUGAGGAUCUAAUUUAUGGUGUGGUGACCACUCUUAAUACUGCAUUGUGCCUUUGAAACUUGUUAAAAGGGUCGAUCUCAAGUGUUCUCACCACACACACACACACGCACGCGCACGUGCA